rnacentral:rRNA from 1 species
UUGACCUCGAAUCAGGUGGGACUACCCGCUGAACUUAAGCAUAUCAAUAAGCCGGAGGAA